rnacentral:rRNA from 1 species
CCUACGGGUGGCAGCAGUGGGGAAUAUUGCACAAUGGGGGAAACCCUGAUGCAGCGACGCCGCGUGAGUGAAGAAGUAAUUCGUUAUGGAAAGCUCUAUCAGCAGGGAAGCAAAUGACGGUACCUGAGUAAGAAUCCCCGGCUAACUACGUUCCAGCAGCCACGGUAAUUCGGAGGGGGCCAGCGUUAUCCGGAUUUAAUGGGUGUAAAGGGGGCGUAGACGGCAGUGCAAGUCCGGAGUGAAAGGCGGGGGCUCAACCCCCGGACAGCGGUGGAAACUGGACGGCUGGAGUGCAGGAGAGGUAAGUGGAAUUCCUAGUGUAGCGGUGAAAUGCGUAGAUAUUAGGCGGAACACCAGUGGCGAAGGCGGCUUACUGGACUGUAACUGACGUUGAGGCUCGAAAGCGUGGGGAGCAAACAGGAUUAGAUACCCCUGUAGUC